rnacentral:rRNA from 1 species
ACGAACGCUGGCGGCGUGCUUAACACAUGCAAGUCGAACGCUGAAGCUCAGCUUUUGUUGGGUGGAUGAGUGGCGAACGGGUGAGUAACACGUGAGUAACCUGCCUCCUUCUUUGGGAUAACGCCCGGAAACGGGUGCUAAUACUGGAUAUUCACUGGUCUUCGCAUGGGGGUUGGUGGAAAGGGUUUUUCUGGUGGGGGAUGGGCUCGCGGCCUAUCAGCUUGUUGGUGGGGUGAUGGCCUACCAAGGCUUUGACGGGUAGCCGGCCUGAGAGGGUGACCGGUCACAUUGGGACUGAGAUACGGCCCAGACUCCUACGGGAGGCAGCAGUGGGGAAUAUUGCACAAUGGGCGCAAGCCUGAUGCAGCGACGCCGCGUGAGGGACGGAGGCCUUCGGGUUGUGAACCUCUUUCGCUCAUGGUCAAGCCGCAACAAUGGUUGUGGUGAGGGUAGUGGGUAAAGAAGCGCCGGCUAACUACGUG